CCCCCUCCUAGAAGCCUUGCAGGUGUGGCUGCUGUGUCACAUAUGUGUCAGCAGGUGGCAGAGAGGAGAGAAGCUAUGUCUAUGUUUACUGUUCUGACCUAUGGACACCUGAAUGAAGAGUAGCCUAAAAUU
ensembl:snoRNA Gm22347 predicted gene, 22347